GACAGAGGAUGCAAGCGUUAUCCGGAAUUAUUGGGCGUAAAGGGCGCGUAGGCGGUGCGGUAAGUCACCUGUGAAAACUCUGGGCUCAACUCAGAGCCUGCAGGCGAAACUGCCGUGCUUGAGUGUGGGAGAGGAUCGCGGAAUUCCCGGUGUAGAGGUGAAAUUCGUAGAUAUCGGGAGGAACACCAGUGGCGAAGGCGGCGAUCUGGGAAGAUACUGACGCUGAGGUGCGAAAGCGUGGGGAGCAAACAGG
rnacentral:rRNA from 1 species